UACGGGGGGAGCAAGCGUUGUUCGGAUUUACUGGGCGUAAAGGGCGGGUAGGCGGCCACCGCAAGUCAGUUGUGAAAUCUCUGGGCUUAACCCAGAAAGGUCAACUGAUACUGCGGGGCUAGAGUGCAGAAGGGGCAACUGGAAUUCUCGGUGUAGCGGUGAAAUGCGUAGAUAUCGUUUGGAACGCCAAUGGUGAAAACAGCAGGCUGGGGAUGUGCAGACGCUGAGACGCGAAAGCCAGGGGAGCAAACGGG
rnacentral:rRNA from 1 species